GACGGAGGGUGCAAACGUUGUUCGGAUUCACUGGGCAUAAAGCGCACGUAGGCGGCUCGUUUAGUCAGACGUGAAAUCCCCCGGCUCAACCGGGGAACGGCAUCUGAUACUGGCGAGCUCGAGGACGGUAGGGGUGAGCGGAACUCCAGGUGGAGCGGUGAAAUGCGUAGAUAUCUGGAGGAACACCGGUGGCGAAAGCGGCUCACUAGGCCGUCUCUGACGCUAAGGUGCGAAAGCUAGGGUAGCAAACGGG
rnacentral:rRNA from 1 species